rnacentral:lncRNA from 1 species
UUAUAUAUAUUGUUCUCUAUAUUCCUUGUUGUUUACUGGUCAGUAUUUUUAAGUCAGAGUGCUAAAUUAUUUUUUUCUUUCCUUGCUUGCUUUUCAAUAGUAUUAAGCUGAUAAACUUUCUGUAGGUGGGAUGCUGACAGGAAAAUGGAUGUACAUGCAUAAAAAAACCUGGGACAUUUUACAGUUUUGAGCUUUGGUACAGGGAACUGCGAGUUCAUCCAUGUUUGGCUGCUCAGUCACAAAUUGUGAUCAGGUCAACAACAUUCAGGUAAGCUCAACAGGACCCACAAACUAAGACAAAUUUCGUGUGCAAGGUUAUUCAG